rnacentral:rRNA from 1 species
UACGUAGGGGGCAAGCGUUGUCCGGAUUUAUUGGGCGUAAAGAGCGUGUAGGCGGUCAGGUAGGUCCGUUGUGAAAACUCGAGGCUCAACCUCGAGACGCCGAUGGAAACCAUCUGACUAGAGUCCGGAAGAGGAGAGUGGAAUUCCUGGUGUAGCGGUGAAAUGCGCAGAUAUCAGGAAGAACACCCGUGGCGAAGGCGGUUCUCUGGGACGGUACUGACGCUGAGACGCGAAAGCGUGGGGAGCAAACAGG